UAGUCCACGCCGUAAACGAUGUCUAUUAGGUCGUGGGUGGUCUGACACAUUUACGCCCGGAUCAAAAGUGUUUAGUAGACCUCCCGGUGAUUACGUCCGCAAGGUUAUAACUCAUAUGUAUUGACGGGGUCUCACACAAUCGGUGGAGCAUGUGGAUUAAUUCGAAGCAACGCGCAGUACCUUACCUGGGUUCGACAUGCUUGUAUGCCUUCUCUGUAAGGAGUUAGUCUGCCUUCGGGUGAUACUUGCACAGGUGCUGCAUGUCUGUCGUCAGCUCGUGUCGUGAGAUGUCGGCUUAAGUCCUCUAACGAGCGAAACCCUCUCCGUUAGUUUCCAGCGAGUUAUGUCGGGGACUCUAACGGGACUGCCGGUGUUAUACCGGAGCACGGUGGGGCUGACGUCAAGUCCUCAUGGCCUUUAUGCCCAGGGCUUCACACGUGCUACAAUGGCAAUUACAGAGCGACGCGAUACCGCGAGCUGGAGCAAAUCGCAUAAAAAUUGCCUCAGUUCGGAUUGCAGGCUGGCAAUUCGCCUGCAUGAAGUCGGUAUCGCUAGUAAUCGCGUAUCAGCAACGCCGCGGUGAAUGUGCUCCUGAGCCUUGUACACACCGCCCGUCAA
rnacentral:rRNA from 1 species